rnacentral:lncRNA from 1 species
UGCCCAAUAGCCGAAGACUCUAUCUCCAAGGUCCUGUUUCGCCGCCCAUCGCCGCUCAAUCGCCGCCAGGGCAGUGCACUCCAUCCUUUUCUUCCCCGUCUUCGUGCUGCUCGAAAACCUCUCUCUUCCACGCUGCUAUAAAAAGGCAUACCAGAGUCCCACCGGAGUUUUCCCUUCGCCAUCGCUGUUUCGCAGCUCCUACUCUGAGAGCACUUGAGCAUUCCCGCUGAGCUCUUGAGAAGUUCCCCUCUCCGCUCAAA